rnacentral:sRNA from 1 species
UUGACAGCCCUGGAGACGGAUGUCCUAAUUAUCCUCAGAACUGGUGCACAUGGGUAUUUUCCUUCCAAUGUGACUCAGCCUAAAUCUGGAGAGUCCAAUUCUCAGAUCAGAUGGCAGUUCAGUGUAAGGCCUUCUCAGACUGCAGUCAUU